rnacentral:rRNA from 1 species
UUAAGAGUUUAUUACUUAUUUUUUUAGAUUAUAUUUUUUAUAAUUAAAAUAUAUUUAUUAUUAUUUGUUUUUGUAAUUUUUUGAUUAAAUAAUAUUAGUUAUAGUAAAUUAGUACAUUAAUGGAAAUUUGAAAUAUUAUUUAUUAAUUUAAAAGUAAAUUUAUUUUAUUGUACCUUUUGUAUCAGGGUUGAUUAAAAAUAAAAUAUUAAUGAAUAUUUAUCUCGAAUUUAAAAGAGCUAAACUAUUAUGAGGUUUUUUGUGGCAAAAAGAUUUUAAAUAAUAAUUUAGUAAUUAGACGUUAGUCGUUUUUAAAUGUAUCUAGUUUUUCAAGAAUUGAAUUUAAUUUAUUUAUUUACAUUUCAUUAUUUUAAUUAUUUAGUUUAUUGAAUUGUAGAUAAAAAAAAUUUUAGGGAUAAGCUUAAAAUUUUUUUAUAAGAUUAAUUUUUGUAGUAAAUAAAUAGGAUUAGAAAUUUCCAUUUUUAUUUAAAGUGUUAUAAUUAAUUUACUUAUAUACAAGAUUUUUUUUUCUUUAAAAUAUUUAUUGAAAUAUUGAUAUUAACAAUUUUAUUUAGAAAUAAUGAUUAAAUUAGUAUUAUUUUAUUUAUGAAUAAAACAUAAAUUAAGAUGAAGAUAAGGAAUUCAGCAAAAAUUGUAUUCGCCUGUUUAUCAAAAACAUGUCUUUUUGAUUAUAAUAUAAAGUCUGGCCUGCCCACUGAAUUUUGAAGGGCCGCAGUAUUUUGACUGUGCAAAGGUAGCAUAAUCAUUUGCCUUUUAAUUAGAGGCUUGUAUGAAUGGUUGAACGAAAUACAAACUGUCUCAUUUUUAAAAUUUUAAUAAUUUAGCUUUCUAGUUAAAAGGCUUGAAUAUUAUUGGAGGACGAGAAGACCCUAUAGAACUUUAUAUAUUUUUAUUUAUAUUUAUAUAGUAAAAUAUUUUUUUAUAAAUAAUAUUAUAUUUUGUUGGGGUGACAGGGAAAUUAAUAUAACUUUCUUAAAUUUUAAACAUUGAUUUAUGAUUAUUUGAUCCAUUAUUAUUGAUUAUUAGAAUAAGUUACCUUAGGGAUAACAGCGUAAUUUUGUUGGAGAGUUCAUAUCUAUAACAAAGUUUGCGACCUCGAUGUUGAAUUAAAGAAAUUUUAGAGUGCAGAAGCUUUAAGUAAUAGGUCUGUUCGACCUUUAAAUCUUUACAUGAUUUGAGUUCAGACCGGCGUGAGCCAGGUCGGUUUCUAUCCUUAAUUAUUAAUCCAUUAUUUAGUACGAAAGGACCAAUUAUGGGAAAAAUUUUUUUUCUAUUGAAUAAAAUUA